rnacentral:rRNA from 1 species
GUGUCAGCAGCCGCGGUAAUACGUAGGGGGCAAGCGUUGUCCGGAAUCAUUGGGCGUAAAGCGCGCGUAGGCGGCCUCACAAGUCCGCUGUAAAAGUCAAAGGCUCAACCUUUGAAUGCCAGUGGAAACUGUGAGGCUAGAGUCCGGAAGAGGCGAGUGGAACUCCUGGUGUAGCGGUGGAAUGCGCAGAUAUCAGGAAGAACACCAACGGCGAAGGCAGCUCGCUGGGACGGUACUGACGCUGAGGCGCGAAAGCGUGGGGAGCAAACAGGAUUAGAUACCCUCGUAGUCC